GGCUCAAGCGCGCUCCCGCGAGGGGGUGCUUUUCACGCCAAGGGUGCAUAAUACGGCACAACACCGGUACGGAGCUGAAAACGCCCGGGUGGUGCUGAAAAACGGCGGCUUAAGCCUCUGGAGAUGGAAGUUAAAUGUUCAAAAUUGACAGAUCUAUUUGGUGCCGGGGUCCACACCCCAGCAGGUGCUGCUGCGCCAGGAGACGAGCGAGUGGAGGCAUAUAUGCUAAGUAACGUUAGCCUGGGGCUAGCUAGGCUACAUUUUGAGACAUGUCCAAAACAAAGUAGAAAACGUUUUUACAUUGAAUGUGAUGUGACCUAAUUAACCGCAUACUUGCGACAACAUAUUAGCCCAGAGUUGAAGGGCUGUGACUGUUGGUAGUUGCGGUUGAUUUUGUUUAAAUAGGCCGAAUUGUGAUAUUAUGGGUUAUUAUUGUUCAGAUGAUUUGGCUAAGCUAGCUAACAGCUGUUAACGUUAGUAGUCUCUUGUUGCCAUAGCAACAGUAAACAUUGACGUGGACUAAUGAGCUGUAAAUAGAGAUGCAGAAUCAAGCUGUAAAUACGCUUACUUUGACCGUUGCUAUAUUUCGGAUAUCAUGACUAUGACAAUGUGCAUCUGUUGUCUAUAUCUGACUGAUGAAUAGUAUCUCAAUAGUGAUAAUCGGAGAUGUCGAUGAGGCCGUGAAACAUCCAACCGGCGCUACGAUCAUGUCUGUCUGAUGCGGGGUCUCGGAAUAAGCGCAGCUGCUGGUGGUCUGAACAACGUGGGACUGGGGCCAGCAGUUAGGGGCACAGCCUCAUGGGAUAGGCCUAAUGGAUGUGAAAAAGGUAAUAUAUGAUGAACCGAAGGAAAAGGUAGGCCUACCGCAUGACACAAGAUAAAGACUAUGCUUAACAAGAAUAUAAUAAUCAGCAGCCUGCACACAUUUAUUUUUAACUGUAAGUUAACUAUUUUCAUACAAUGCCAUUGUUUUGGCACAAAGUAUCUAAUUUUACAGGCCUCACUGGUCUGGUGAAUACUCUCUUCAUUCCUGCGGAAGUUAUUUUGAAAAUGUUAUUGCAUUCAGACGUUUCUUCCAUCACAUUAUGUUUCUUCCGUAGGCCAAAGAGCUGCACUGCCAUACAUUUUCCUGCGGGUUCGGGAAGGCCUAUGAUGUUGUAUGCAAUAAGGCGGGGACUAUGUACGAAUUACUUCAGACAUGCGAUAGGUUUAAAGAAAAGGCUUCCAAAAACCAAGGCAAAGAUCUUGUUAUUUUAACAUCUCAUAAAAGAGCUAUUAGUAUGCAUUUUCCAUAUCACAAAAUGACCGAGAUUGGCACUGAAACCCUCGUAAUUAGGUAGCCCUACAUCAGUGCAGGAAGGAACCAGACAACCACCACAAGCAGUAAGGACAAAAAGGAAUAUCGUGGAGAGAUGGCAAUAUUUGACGUGAAAACAACUGGCGAUACUAACAUUCUUACUAUGGUUAUGAACAAUUUGGGGCUGAGAUAGCGGAUGAGGUUACAGUGUAUGGCUACAAAGGUCAAACAGUGAGAGAAGUGCUGGAGCAAGAUGGACGUUUUAGUGACGAGGUAUUACAAAGCAAUUAUUAUCUGCAGGACACAAAGAAUGGUAUACGUACGGAAAAGUCCACCCAUGCAAAUUAUCUAGAUGGUAGAUGUUUCAAGAUAACAAGAGGUUACCGCUUAGAAACGCUGUGAUAGUUAAACGUCCGUGCGUGGUUUGCAACAUACUUAGGGUCCUUCAUGAUAACGCCACACUUACAUAUGGAUAUUAGCUAUAAGGCUAUCACCAGUAAUGAUAAAGAAGUGGUACAAGUUUUGUACAGAUUAUGUUUUGGUUCAUUGUUUGUUUUUUAUUGGUUUAUUAUUUGUAUGCAUUAUAUGUUGGUGUCA
ensembl:lncRNA